AAUAAACAUAAUCAUAAAUUUCCGCGUACAACUUUAAUCGUUCAUCUUAUUUGAAAAUUUUUACGAUUAAUAUUUUUAUUGAUAUUAGAUUAUUUUAUAUGUGACUUAUGUUUUUAGUUUUUUCAAAAAUAAAUAAAUAAGACGGACAAUUAAAGUUGGGCACAGAAACUCAUUACUGUGCUUAUU
rfam:Oryza nivara chromosome 4, whole genome shotgun sequence.